UACGUAGGGCGCAAGCGUUGUCCGGAAUUAUUGGGCGUAAAGAGCUCGUAGGCGGUUUGUCGCGUCUGGUGUGAAAACUCGAGGCUCAACCUCGAGCUUGCAUCGGGUACGGGCAGACUAGAGUGCGGUAGGGGAGACUGGAAUUCCCGGUGUAGCGGUGAAAUGCGCAGAUAUCAGGAGGAACACCGGUGGCGAAGGCGGGACUCUGGGCCGAUACUGACGCUGAGGAGCGAAAGCGUGGGGAGCAAACAGG
rnacentral:rRNA from 1 species